rnacentral:rRNA from 1 species
AUUCCAGCUCCAAUAGCGUAUAUUAAAGUUGUUGCAGUUAAAAAGCUCGUAGUUGGAUUUCUGACAGGGGGCCGAACACCACUGUAGUGAGUGUUUUGGUACCUGUCAUCCUUCUGUUAACCCUAGCGUCAUUCAUUUGUCGUUGGGCGGACCAGAUACUUUACCUUGAGAAAAUUAGAGUGUUUCAGGCAGGCCUAGCCGGAAUACAUUAGCAUGGAAUAAUGGAAUAGGACUAUAGUCUCGUCGUUGGUUACGUGGACUGCAGUAAUGAUUAAUAGGGACAGUUGGGGGUGCUUGUAUUUAACGGCCAGAGGUGAAAUUCUUGGAUUCGUUAAAGACAAACUACUGCGAAAGCAUUCACCAAGGAUGUCUUCAUUG